CCCAAAGGUCUGCUCAAUGGUGCUGACAUCAGAGUAUACACAUAAAAUUCAAAAUAAAUAAAUAAAUAUUCAUAUAUAGAUUACAAAAUUUUUAACAAAAACAAGUGAAUGCUUAUUAAUAAUAAAUUAAUGACUAAAAAGAACAAAUUAUAAUAAGUGUCAAUAAUGUAUGAACGAAAAAGUCCAUAUCACUUUCUCUGCUUACUGCACCAUUUCCAGGUGUUACUGAUUUCAGAAAGGUCCACUUUAUUUAUGGGUGCUGGUUUAGAAUUUUUGCUGUUGAAGAUUGUCAAGAUUUCACUGAUUUUUCCUUUUUUAAGGUCAUCUUCUUUAAUAACAAGUUCAGCCUCAUUCCAUUUUAUUGAUAAGUCAGUGGAAAUAGCUUUCUGCACUAAAGAUAUAGAAGUUUGAUCUUGAUGAAGAGGUUAUUUAAUCUCUUAAGGAGAUCUAAUGAUAAAGAGGUUAUUUAACUUCUUAAGAAAUGAUAAAGAUAGAAUUGACCUAUCCUCCCUCCCAGGCAUAUAUGAAAUCCCUGCUGUAGAUGAAGAUUUCAAGCAAGAUCUUAAAUAUAUAAGUUAUACAUCAAGAUCAAUUGAAAAAAGAAUUUGUUGAGCACAAAAGGGACAUUCAAAAUGUUAAAAUUUCUACAUCUUCAGCACAGAAAGCUAUUUCCACCGACUUAUCAAUAGAGAGGUGUAGUCCAAUCUCUCACUUAGUUAGUUUUUCUACUAGUUCUUCUGUUUUAGAAUCUGCUUUCCAAAUGACUAAGAUGUCAUCCACAUAUCUAAUAUAAUUUUUAGCUUUUUUACUAAAUAUCUAGUGUAAUCGAUAAUCGACAUAUUCAUGCUCUUUAAGGCAUUUUGCUCCACCUCUCUUAUUACAGUUUCUGCAGGACACCUGCUAAUGAACUGCCGAUGGAUACACUUAUUGUCUGUCUCUACCAUUUUCCUCUAAAAGUACAGGGUGAUUCAGAGGGGUGGUGCCGGAAUUUACAGGUGGGUGGGGGAUGGAAUUCUGAGUGAGGGGGUUUGGGCGCGUUUUUUGAUCUGGAGCUCCGUUGAAGAGUUGUAG
rnacentral:lncRNA from 1 species